rnacentral:rRNA from 1 species
AAACUUAUUUAAUUUGGCGGCAUUAAAUUUAAUUAGAGGAAUUUGUCCUUUAAUCGACAACCCACGUUAAAUUUCACUUAAAUAAAAAAUUUAUAUAUCGCCAUCUAAAGAAUAAAUUUAAAAAUAAUUUUCUAAAAAAUUAAUAAAAAGUUAGGUCAAGGUGUAAUUUACAUUAAAGAAAGAGAUGAAUUACAUUAAAUAUUAUUUAAAGAUUAUAAGUUAACACACAUAUACAAAUAAGGAUUUAAAAGUAAUAUCUAAACAAUAAUUAAAUAUGACAUAAACAAUAAAUGUGCACACAUCGCCC